rnacentral:rRNA from 1 species
AUUUGAGGGGGGCAAAUUAAUUAAUUUAUAAUUAAUAAAAGAAUUUUUAUAAUUAAAAUAUUUAAUGGGGGUUAAAGUAUUUUAAUAGAAAAAAUUGAAAAAUUUAUAGUAAAUUAGUAUUGUGGGAGAAUUUUGAAAUAUUUUGAAAUAUAUAAAUUAUUUUAAAGUAAUUUUUAUUUAAUGUAUCUUGUGUAUCAGAGUUUAUUAAAAAAAAUUUUUAGUAAAAAAUUUCUCGAAUUUAAAAGAGAUAAUUAAUUAAUAAAGUUAUUGUAGCAUAAAUAUUUUAAAUAAUUAAUUGGAAAUGAUAUGUUAAUCGUUUUUAAAUAUAUCUAGUUUUUUUAGAAAAAAAUUUAAUUUUAAAAUUUUAAUAAAAAAAAAAUUCAUUAAUAAAUUUUUUUUUUUAAAAUUUUUAUAUUUUAAGGGAUAAGCUUUAAAUUAAAAUUUAUAUAAUAAUUUUUAAUUAUAAAUUGAAAAUUUUAUAAUUUAUAUUGUUAAUAAAUUUUAUUUUAUUAUAAAUAAUUUCAAGUUUAAUAAAAUUUUAAAUUUAAUUUAUAUUUUUAUGAAAAAAUAAAUUUUUAAUUAAUAAAAAUUAGUUAUAAUGAUAAAAUUAGUAUAUUUAUAAAUUAAAUAUAAUUUUAAUAAUUUAAAAUUAAAUAAAAGGAAUUCGGCAAAUAUUUAUAUUCACUUGUUUAUCAAAAACAUGUCUUUUUGAAAAUUAUUUAAAGUCUAAUCUGCCCACUGAUUUAAUAUUAAAGGGCUGCAGUAUUUUGACUGUACAAAGGUAGCAUAAUCAGUAGUCAUUUAAUUGAUGACUUGUAUGAAAGAUUGGAUGAAAUAUAAACUGUCUCUUAUUUUAAAAAUUAGAAUUUAAUUUUUCAAUUAAAAAGUUGAAAUAUAAUAAAAAGACGAGAAGACCCUAUAGAGUUUAAUAUUUAUUUUUAAUUGAUAUUAUUUGUAAAAUUAAAAUUAAAAUUAAUAAAAAUAUUUUGUUGGGGUGAUAAAAAAAUAAAAAUAACUUUUUUUAUUUAAAAACAUAAAUAAGUGAAUAAAUGAUCCAAUAUUAUUGAUUAAAAGAAAAAAUUACCUUAGGGAUAACAGCGUAAUUUUUUUUUUUAGUUCAAAUAAAAAAAAAAGUUUGCGACCUCGAUGUUGGAUUAAGAUAAAAUUUAAAUGCAAAAGUUUAAAAUUUUGAUCUGUUCGAUCAUUAAAAUCUUACAUGAUCUGAGUUCAAACCGGUGUGAGCCAGGUUGGUUUCUAUCUUUUAUAAAUUUUUAUAUUUUAGUACGAAAGGAAUAAAUAUUAAAAUUAAAUUUAUUUAAUUGAAUAUUACUAAU